rnacentral:rRNA from 1 species
UACGUAGGGUGCAAGCGUUAAUCGGAAUUACUGGGCGUAAAGCGUGCGCAGGCGGCUAUGCAAGACAGAUGUGAAAUCCCCGGGCUCAACCUGGGAACUGCAUUUGUGACUGCAUUGCUAGAGUAUGGGAGAGGGAAGUGGAAUUUCCGGUGUAGCGGUGAAAUGCGUAGAUAUCGGAAGGAACAUCAGUGGCGAAAGCGACUUCCUGGACCAAUACUGACGCUCAUGUGCGAAAGCGUGGGGAGCAAACAGG